AGCAGUGUGGCCUAGUGGAAGGAGUCUGGACCUGGGAGUCAGAGGUCAUGGGUUCAAAUCCCACCUCUGCCA
rnacentral:tRNA from 1 species